AGCGGAGGAAAAGAAACCAACCGGGAUUGCCUUAGUAACGGCGAGUGAAGCGGCAAAAGCUCAAAUUUUGAAAUCUGGUACCUUCGGUGCCCGAGUUGUAAUUUGGAGAGGGCAACUUUGGGGCCGUUCCUUGUCUAUGUUCCUUGGAACAGGACGUCAUAGAGGGUGAGAAUCCCGUGUGGCGAGGAGUGCGGUUCUUUGUAAAGUGCCUUCGAAGAGUCGAGUUGUUUGGGAAUGCAGCUCUAAGUGGGUGGUAAAUUCCAUCUAAAGCUAAAUAUUGGCGAGAGACCGAUAGCGAACAAGUACAGUGAUGGAAAGAUGAAAAGAACUUUGAAAAGAGAGUGAAAAAGUACGUGAAAUUGUUGAAAGGGAAGGGCAUUUGAUCAGACAUGGUGUUUUGUGCCCUCUGCUCCUUGUGGGUAGGGGAAUCUCGCAUUUCACUGGGCCAGCAUCAGUUUUGGUGGCAGGAUAAAUCCAUAGGAAUGUAGCUUGCCUCGGUAAGUAUUAUAGCCUGUGGGAAUACUGCCAGCUGGGACUGAGGACUGCGACGUAAGUCAAGGAUGCUGGCAUAAUGGUUAUAUGCCGCCCGUCUUAA
rnacentral:rRNA from 1 species